GGCAUAGUGUGGCAUAGUGGUUUGAGUGUUAGACUAUGACUCUGGAGGCCAGAGUUCAAAUCCCUGCUCCACCA